rnacentral:lncRNA from 1 species
AUAGAAUAGCAGAACACGAGACUACCUCAAGUAAAAAUAUAUAGAGGUGCAGAGAGCAAACUCCACAUGCGAUGUGGUUGACCCGUUGGUAAGUCAUUGAGCUAGCCUAAGACUAAAGCCUGUCUUGUAAAGAUAGGACUUGGUACAUAGCAGAUUGAUUUUAGUGCAAGUGAGAGAUUAUUGGAUGUAUGCCCUAGAAGCCAAUCUUGACUGACACAUUUUAUAUCUCUAGGACAUGAUUUUGUACUUAUUGAGCAGUUAUAGUACCAUUCAUAUUUAUGUAUCCAUGAAUCAUCCAAGAGAUUAAUAAAAUAAUGAUAUAUAUUCUCAAAGAAUUGAGAAUUUGAGGCAUAUGUCAUUAAUGGUUGAUUCCUAAAUUACUCCUGAUCAUAGGAUCAUCAUAAGGAUGGUGAUUGAUUCGAAUAGACCAGUGCACGAAUCGCUUUCUUCGGAUAGAUGGAUCUCGAGUCUGCAGUAUAGAGACACUGGAACGAGAGUGCAGGUAGUUGUUGGAGAAUAACUAGCACUGAGCAUGACCAACACGAGAAGUCAUAUGGAUGUCUGCUCACUCGUCAGUGACUUUCUCGAUGCUGCAGUUGUAUGACUGAUCUUUUGACCUGAGAUGACACUACUGUUUGCAGUGAGACUGCUGGAGUUUGACUGACACAUCAACAUAGAUCUCAAUGAGCCCUUGUAGUAGAUGUUGGCGACAGUUGGUCCAUUGUAGGAGUGGGGUGUGCAUCAAGAUGGAAUCUAUCGAUCCUAGCAGAAAAGAGUAGUCCUAUGAGAUUUAAGAGGCUGAGUCCUUAAGUCUAUGAUCAUAGCAUUAUGAUUGAUGAAAAGAGUUUUCAUGGAAUCACAUAUGGACUCGAGCUGAUUGAAUCUAUCAUAUGACCGAUAUUGAGAUUUGAUAAUUCAUCCAUAACCUGCCAUCUGAUUAGGACUCAUGAUAGAGGGACUGUAUCAUGCACUAACUGCACCUAAAGGUUCAUCUUUUAUUCUGCUGGAUUGCCACUACAUACUGCUAGGCGUCACUAGUGGAUUGUGAGACUCAUGAGGAUCAUUUUGAUGAUCAAUGAUCCUUAGUGGGCUGAAUUGAAAUUAUUUCAAUUUAUUGAAAAGAGUUUCAAUGAUAUUAUGAUAGAGAUCAUAAUAUAUCUUACUUCCAGAUAGAAUAGAACCUAUGGGGUCACACACAAAAGAGAUUUUGACUGAUCAGAUGAUUGAAUUACGAUUAUGAAUCGUAACAGAAUUUGAUUAUCAAUUUGAUUGAUAAUUGAUUAA